rnacentral:rRNA from 1 species
UGGGGAAUCUUGCGCAAUGGGCGAAAGCCUGACGCAGCAACGCCGCGUGCGGGAUGAAGGCCUUCGGGUUGUAAACCGCUUUCAGUGGGGACGAACCAAGACGGUACCCACAGAAGAAGCCCCGGCCAACUACGUGCCAGCAGCCGCGGUAACACGUAGGGGGCAAGCGUUGUCCGGAUUCAUUGGGCGUAAAGAGCUCGUAGGCGGUUCGAUAAGUCGGGUGUGAAACCUCCAGGCUCAACCUGGAGACGCCACCCGAUACUGUCGUGACUAGAGUCCAGUAGGGGAGCGUGGAAUUCCUGGUGUAGCGGUGAAAUGCGCAGAUAUCAGGAGGAACACCAGCGGCGAAGGCGGCGCUCUGGGCUGGAACUGACGCUGAGGAGCGAAAGCGUGGGGAGCGAACAGGAUUAGAUACCCCCGUAGUCCCUGAGCGGGCUGGCAAGGCGCAU